UAGCUCGCGCCAUCCCCCGCAUCCCAUGCAUGGCGCGGACGAGGCUAUGAUUGUAGGAUUGGCAUAGGAAUUUUGGAGGAUUGGCUUUCCUAAGGAUUUUUUCCUAUCCAAGCCUUUGGUUCACAGAAAAGUAAAGGAAUCAUUCCUGAGGAUUGCAUUCCUAUGACCUGAUUCCAUAGGAAAAUAAACAUGAAGUCGGACCUCUUGGAACUUUUCCUAGCGCGAAAUCAGACUUGCGCGCGACUCACUAGUCCUCGUUCAUCUUCGCGCUCGCGCCAACGACAAACAGCCGCCGCCCCAUCGCCGGCUCGCGUGACGGCCACGCCUCGCUCAUGCUUAUUCAUCUUCACAUCGAGCCAGCGCUAAACGGCCAGCCCAUCGCCGGCUCGCGCGACGGCCACGGCAUCACCGCUGCACGGGACAGCACGACGCCCUCCCCAUCUCGCCAGGUAUCGAGUCGGCCUGCCCCAAUGCUGGCCACAGGAAGAAGUUCCGCGGCCAACGUGAGCGCUCGCGAUGGAGGGAGAGCGUUCUCUGCCACAGCGCCGGCGGCGAGAAAGCAGAGCAGACUAAAAACAGAGAGGUAGACUUUGACAAGAAACGGAUGAGGAUUGACGGUUGCUGGCCUGGGCGUCGGCAAGAGCGUGUGGAUAAGAAUGACCGAAGACAUGGUCCCACAGGCUGGAGUGUUCGGAUGUUAAGCAAACGUAACUGCCAAAGGCUAGCUGUUCAAAUUCCAAUUGAUGUACACAAUUCCUGUGUUUCACCUAAGCUCUUGCCAAAGGCAUUUUCCUUUGUUUCAAAUCCCAUAGGAUCAGAGGAGUAUGCCAUCUCUAUUCCUUUGUUUUUCCUUUUCCUAUCCUAUACCUAUACUGCAAUCCAAAGGG
rnacentral:lncRNA from 1 species